rnacentral:tRNA from 1 species
GGUGGAAGCUCAGUGGUAGAGUGCUUGCCUAGCAUGCAUGAGGCACUGGAUUAGAUCCCCAGCACCA